UACUAAAGCGUUGAGACAACUCGGGUGAAGGAACUAGGCAAAAUAGCACCGUAACUUCGGGAGAAGGUGCGCCAAUUGUAGUUGUAGGCAUUUACUGUCGAAGGCGAGAUUGGUCGAAGAUACCAGGUGGUUGCGACUGUUUACUAAAAACACAGCACUCUGCAAACACGAAAGUGGAAGUAUAGGGUGUGACUCCUGCCCGGUGCUGGAAGGUUAAUUGAAGGGGUUAGCUCACCUUCAGAUAAUUUUUAAGAUACGAGG
rnacentral:rRNA from 1 species